GUGGGGAAUAUUGGACAAUGGGGGGAACCCUGAUCCAGCCAUGCCGCGUGUGUGAAGAAGGCCUUUUGGUUGUAUAGCACUUUAAGCGAGGAGGAGGCUACCGAGAUUAAUACUCUUGGAUAGUGGACGUUACUCGCAGAAUAAGCACCGGCUAACUCUGUGCCAGCCGCCGCGGUAAUACAGAGGGUGCAAGCGUUAAUCGGAUUUACUGGGCGUAAAGCGCGCGAAGGUGGGCAAUUAAGUCAAAUGUGAAAUGCCCGGACUUAACAUGGGAAUUGCAUUCGAUACUGGUUGGCUAGAGUAUUGGAGAGGAUGGUAGAAUUCCAGGUGUAGCGGUGAAAUGCGUAGAGAUCUGGAGGAAUACCGAUUGCGAAGGCAGCCAUCUGGCCUAAUACUGACACUGAGGUGCGAAAGCAUGGGGAGCAAACAGGAUUAGAUACCCUUGUAGUCC
rnacentral:rRNA from 1 species